AUACGUAGGUGGCGAGCGUUGUCCUGAGUUACUGGGCGUAAAGGGCGCGUAGGCGGGAUAGCAAGUCUGUUGUGAAAUUGCGGGGCUCAACCCCGUAUUGGCAAUGGGAACUGCUAUUCUUGAGUGCAGGAGAGGAAAGCGGAAUUCCCAGUGUAGCGGUGAAAUGCGUAGAUAUUGGGAGGAACACCAGUGGCGAAGGCGGCUUUCUGGCCUGUGUCUGACGCUGAGGCGCGAAAGCCAGGGGAGCGAACGGGAUUAGAUACCCCGGUAGUCCUGGCCGUAAACGAUGGGUACUAGGUGUAGGAGGUAUCGACCCCUUCUGUGCCGGAGUUAACGCAAUAAGUACCCCGCCUGGGGAGUACGGCCGCAAGGCUGAA
rnacentral:rRNA from 1 species